GUCGAUGGCCAUGCCAUCAAAAUACCUCAUCUUGUCUGGUGUCAGAAGUUAAGCAGAGUUGAGCCUGGCUAGUACUUGGGACGGGAGAAGGCUGGUGUCCAGCUCAGCUCUCGUCA
rnacentral:rRNA from 1 species